UUGCCAUGCCCAUCUUGGGACUCGGCCGUGAAGUCAGUGCUGAAGCGGUCUCAUACGAAGCAACCCGAGCGGUAUGACCGCCGCUGCGGAUGCCAUAUGCCCCUGGAGC